rnacentral:rRNA from 1 species
UACGUAGGGGGCGAGCGUUAUCCGGAUUUACUGGGUGUAAAGGGAGCGUAGACGGCUUAGCAAGUCUGGAGUGAAAGCCCGUGGCUUAACCGCGGAACGGCUUUGGAAACUGUUAAGCUGGAGUGCUGGAGAGGCAAGCGGAAUUCCUAGUGUAGCGGUGAAAUGCGUAGAUAUUAGGAGGAACACCAGUGGCGAAGGCGGCUUGCUGGACAGUAACUGACGCUGAGGCACGAAAGCGUGGGGAGCAAAUA